UACGGGAGGCAGCAGUGAGGAAUAUUGGUCAAUGGACGAGAGUCUGAACCAGCCAAGUAGCGUGAAGGAUGACUGCCCUAUGGGUUGUAAACUUCUUUUAUAUGGGAAUAAAACAGGGUAUGCAUACCCUCUUGUAUGUACCAUAUGAAUAAGGAUCGGCUAACUCCGUGCCAGCAGCCGCGGUAAUACGGAGGAUCCGAGCGUUAUCCGGAUUUAUUGGGUUUAAAGGGAGCGUAGGUGGAUUGUUAAGUCAGUUGUGAAAGUUUGCGGCUCAACCGUAAAAUUGCAGUUGAAACUGGCAGUCUUGAGUACAGUAGAGGUGGGCGGAAUUCGUGGUGUAGCGGUGAAAUGCUUAGAUAUCACGAAGAACUCCGAUUGCGAAGGCAGCUCACUGGACUGCAACUGACACUGAUGCUCGAAAGUGUGGGUAUCAAACAGGAUUAGAUACCCUGGUAGUCCACACAGUAAACGAUGAAUACUCGCUGUUUGCGAUAUACAGUAA
rnacentral:rRNA from 1 species